CCUACGGGAGGCAGCAGUGAGGAAUAUUGGUCAAUGGGCGCGAGCCUGAACCAGCCAAGUCGCGUGAGGGAGGACGGCCCUACGGGUUGUAAACCUCUUUUGCCGGGGAGCAACGGGCGCCACGUGUGGCGUCACUGAGAGUACCCGGAGAAAAAGCAUCGGCUAACUCCGUGCCAGCCGCCGCGGUAAUACCGAGGAGGCGAGCGUUAUCCGGAUUUCUUGGGUUUAAAGGGUGCGUAGGCGGAUCGUUAAGUCAGUGGUCAAAUUGAGGGGCUCAACCCCUUCCCGCCAUUGAAACUGGCGUUCUUGAGGGGAGGAGAGGUGUGCGGAAUGCGUGGUGUAGCGGUGAAAUGCAUAGAUAUCACGCAGAACACCGAUUGCGAAGGCAGCAUGCCGGCUUCCGACUGACGCUGAAGCACGAAAGCGUGGGGAUCGAACAGGAUUAGAUACCCUUGUAGUC
rnacentral:rRNA from 1 species